CCGGAGAGACUGCCAGCUCUCAUAUUAAUAUCAUCAUCAAGGAUCUUCAAGUCCUGAUGUAAUUGUAUGAUGAGGAUCAAGGAACUUCUGGUCCUGAUCUGCAUACUGUAAAAAACUCAUCAUACAACACAUUUAGUCCAUAAAAUAAAUUGCUUGUAAAUAAAUUACUGGUAUGGACGAUAAACCCGCACCACACUUUAAAUAAAUGUAAAUGUGCGGUAAAAUAAAUUCAUAAAUUAAAUUGCUUGCUGUAUGGACGUUAAUCCCGCACCAUACCUUAAAUAAAAUUAAAUGUGCGGUAAAGUAAACGUGCUUGUAUGGGCACUAAUCCUGCUCCAUACAUAAAAGCAAAGGCGUGGGCGAUAAACCCGCACCACCCUUUUAAAUAAAUACUGUUGUAUGGGUAAUAAACCUACACCAUACAGUAAAUAAAAUAAAUGUGCGGUAAAGUAAAUUUGCAGUAAAUUAAACGUGCUUGUAUGGGCACUAAUUCUGCUCCAUACAUUUAAAUAAAAUUAAAGGCGUGGGCGAUAAACCCGCACCACCCUUUUAAAUAAAUACUGUUGUAUGAGUAAUAAACCUACACCAUACAGUAAAUAAAAUAAAUGUGCGGUAAAGUAAAUUCAUAAAGUAAAUUUCAUAAAGUAAAGUGUUAGGAUUAGUAACGGUUUCCCACUGAUAAUAUGUUUAGUAUUACCGAGGGUCCAUUUUUGUUAAUGGUUAGUAAAAGAAAAGCAGAUAAAUAUAAUAGGAAAUAAUAGAGGAGAUAAGGGAGCAGAAAACUUAACGCUUAUGCUCUUG
rnacentral:lncRNA from 1 species